UCUCCCGGUCAAAUAAAUAAAUAAAUAAAUACAUUGAAAUGAGGUUAUGUCUUGUUAAAGACACUUUUAAAUAUCGAGUAAUGUUUUUGCAAUGUAAAUCAAGUAAGAAAUACCGUUUUUGUAUUUAGAUACUUGUACUGUAAUGUAUUUAUUUUUAACUUCAGCGUACAGUGCAGUGUAUUAAUAUUAAAUAUCAAUCUCAUUAACACUCAGGCAGGACCAUUUCUGAUGUGUUAGACAGCGCUGCUACUGGGUAAUAAACUAAAACAAGCGCCCGUUCAAAUAAAGCGGGAGCGAAGAACCGUCUCUGAAAGAGGAGCUUGAAAAUGAUCAGAAUUGUGAAGGCGCCGCAUCUUCUUGCGCCUCUUAAUGCAUCCCUCGUGUCAGCAGCACUAUUGUACUGAAGCGGUAUACAGUACCGGUGCGCGGUUCUCUUUUCACCUGUUUAACUGUGUUACAGGGAGCGGUGCGUGUCCACUCUUCCUCUAUGGGUCGCUGGCGGCAGCUUCAUUUCUUCUGAUUACUUUGUUAAUUACACUGGUAAUAUGCUAUCGAAGACAGAAUAAACCAGAUGCGUAUUUGGCAAAUGAACCAUCGAUGUAUUCCGAGAUUCGCGUUACAGGGAGGGCGCCAGACAAACAAAUAGCAGGGCAACGUGAAAACACCGGUUCCGGAGGAAGGCACGCCAGACCAAAGAUAAGAGCAGCGCAGGUCCGUGAUGACGUGCAGUACGCCAGUCUGCAGUUCGAGGCGCGCGGGCGACAGAAAUGAAGACCGGGGAUGGACAGAUUAUUAGAAACACCUGUGUCAUGUAGCACACACUUCUGUGUAACUGCACUGUCCCUCCUAGAACUGAAUAAUUUCAUAUGCAAAAAGCA